rnacentral:rRNA from 1 species
GCACUGUUAAAUCAUCUGUCGGAUAAAUCUUGCCCAAGGGUCCGGGAUAACCCCGGGAAACUGGGGAUAAUACCGGAUGGAUCACUAGUGCUGGAAUGCUUGGUGGUCGAAAGGUAACGCCUUUGGAUGGGUCUGCGGCGGAUUAGGUUGACGCCGGUGUAACGUACCGGCGUGCCUGUAAUCCGUACGGGUUGUGGGAGCAAGAGCCCGGAGAUGGAUUCUGAGACACGAAUCCAGGCCCUACGGGGCGCAGCAGGCGCGAAAACUCGACAAUGCAGGCAACUGCGAUAGGGGGACAUCGAGUGGCAUCCACCUUGGGUGCCUGUCCAACCGUCUAAAAAACGGUUGUUAGCAAGGGCCGGGUAAGACCGGUGCCAGCCGCCGCGGUAAUACCGGCGGCUCGAGUGGUGGCCGAUAUUAUUGAGUCUAAAGGGUCCGUAGCCGGCUUUGCAAGUCCCCUGGGAAAUCCAGCGGCUUAACCGUUGGGCUUUCAUGGGAUACUACAUUGCUUGGGACUGGGAGAGGUAGGAGGUACUCGGGGGGUAGGGGUGAAAUCCUGUAAUCCUCCGGGGACCACCGGUGGCGAAGGCGUCCUACCAGAACAGGUCCGACGGUGAGGGACGAAAGCUAGGGGCACGAACCGGAUUAGAUACCCGGGUAGUCCUAGCCGUAAACGAUGCCCGCUAGGUGUCACGACGGUCGUGAAUCGUCGUGGUGCCGUAGGGAAGCCGCGAAGCGGGCCACUUGGGGAAGUACGGCCGCAAGGCUGAAACUUAAGGAUUUGGCGGGGGAGCAC